GGAAAGCCUCUUGCUCAAAUGAGUAUUCCAACAAAUGUCUAAUUGACAUACUUUGAGAUACUCAUUUGGGCAAGAAGUUUUAC
rfam:Solanum tuberosum cultivar DM 1-3 516 R44 scf00382_21, whole genome shotgun sequence.